GAACAACUUUAAUUAACAUUAGCAAACAAUUAAUGGAACUACAAAAAUAAUCUUCUUCAAAAAAGUUCAAUUAACUCUUGUAUAUACCUACAAUGGUAUUAGUUAAUAUUUUUAAUUGAUUUGCGAGUCAUUUUACUCCAUAGCUUACACCAUGAUCAAUGCUAUGAUCAAGUGAUUUUUCCUAUUCAUUGCAGUUGAAACAAAUGCUGCAGAGGUUAUUUAUUCAACAUUCUUUAUUUGUCUGCCAACUUUAAUUUCUGAUGGUGAUCAGUUUUGGAUGUAAAUCACUGGUCUUAUUUAUUUCAAAGGGAAUGUUCAAUCAAAGAGCUGAAAGCUCUGAAGAAAAAUGACGCCACUGUCUCUAAUAUUGGGAUAGUUUUUAUGCAAGUCUUGAUUUUCACAUACCGUAAUUAGUUUAACAAUGCAACAUGUCUCGUAAGCAUAUAAUUGAUAUUCGUAUAUGUGUGUGUGUGAAGUGAAGGUGCCAACUGGCUGGGUUUUUUUUUUAAGACAAAUGAAUAGGUCAAGACUACCUGAAUUGUACAAAUAAAUACCGUAGAAAGGCUU
rnacentral:lncRNA from 1 species